rnacentral:tRNA from 1 species
GGGGCAGUAGUUCAAUAGGGUUAGAACAGUCGAUUACUAAUCCUCAUGUUGCGGGUUCGACUCCCACCUGCCCCG